UCUUCGGAGAUGAAGGUGGUCGCAAAUCCCGGACAAGUCCCAAAAUGAAAGACCCCCAGAGAGGGGAGACCCUCACCGUCUCGGGAUAACUCAACCCCCCCCCCAAGAACUCACGAGAGA
rnacentral:pre_miRNA from 11 species